GCAAACUUGGUCAUUUAGAGGAAGUAAAAGUCGUAACAAGGUUUCCGUAGGUGAACCUGCGGAAGGAUCAUUACUGUUGGGGCUUCCCCAUCAAGAUGCUAUCCUUUGUUUAUAAGCACCCUUGUUUCCUCGGCAGGUCCGCCUGCCAAUGGGGACACAUUCAACCUUUUGCAAUAGCAGUUUUCUCUGAACAGAUAUAAUUAUCACAACUUUCAACAACGGAUCUCUUGGUUCUGGCAUCGAUGAAGAACGCAGC
rnacentral:misc_RNA from 1 species